GACGAACCGUCCUAACGUUGUUCGGAAUCACUGGGCUUAAAGGGCGCGUAGGCGGCCCGUCAAGUCGGGGGUGAAAGCCCACGGCCCAACCGUGGAAGGGCCUCCGAUACUGACGGGCUCGAGGGAGGUAGGGGCAGGUGGAACUUCCGGUGGAGCGGUGAAAUGCGUUGAUAUCGGAAGGAACGCCGGUGGCGAAAGCGACCUGCUGGACCUCUUCUGACGCUGAGGCGCGAAAGCUAGGGGAGCAAACGGGG
rnacentral:rRNA from 1 species